UGGCAACACACUUAAAUUUUCGGUAAGAAAAAAAGAAAAACUAAAUUAAAACACACACGCAAACACUGCCUUUAGUAGAGAGACUGAGAGAAAAUAGGAUCGAUUUUUUAGGGUUUCAUCAAAAUUUUGGGCAACUUCUAACGAUUUGGUCUGGAAUUCGCAAUUAGGGCUCCAGAUUAAUCGAAUUUCUUGGCUGCGACAUUCUCUCACGUUUCUUGCUUGCUGUUCAUCGAGCAGGAGGAUUGAAUUGGGGUUUCGCAUAACAAUUCGAACAAGUUAAGAGGAGGUAUGUAAUAUGUUCACACUUUGAUGUUAUUCCCGGUAUGUUAUCGAUGUUUGUAUGGGGUUCGUCGCGUUCUUUACAAGCAUUAUGUUUGAUAGAAUUGAAUCAUUUGUGAGGUUGAAAUUUGGACGUUUGUUUUGUGUUGUGGUAGAUUAUUGUUGCAAUAUUAGCUAUUUUCUUCGAUUUUGUUUUGAAUAAGUGCAAAAUUGACUGUGUUCGAUGAGAUUAUCGAUGUACCGGAUGGUCGAAAUUGAUUAAAACAUCAAAUCCUAGUUAUGAGAUAGAUUAAUUAAGGGUUUUGCAGAACAUCCUUGCAGGGUCAAAAUGUUGCUGCUAUGUGAAUGUGGUGAUCGUUGUAGCUGAAUAAAAAUGAGCUAUGUAACUAUGUGAAUGUGGUGAUCGUUGUAGCUGAAUAAAACUGGGCUCUGUAACACUCAAUAUUAAUACUCUAUCUGAGAAUUACCUUCUGAUGUCUUCCUUUGCUGCUAUUAAGCUUCUGUAGUAUACUUCAAUGCACUAGAUUUUCAUAUUUCAGUUCCUGUUCAACUUGUUCCCCCCAACCCCCGUGUUUAGCUUAAGUAACUUGCGUUGGUACCUUAAGGCUUAGAUGACUGUUUGUUGUAUGUUGGAUUUCUUAUAGUCAGGAGGUGCAUUUUAUGCACCCCCUUCUAGGUACCCCUCCUAACAAAACAAUUAAGACUUCUCAUAACUUGCGAAUCUGCGAUAGUGAGCAAUAUCACUCGUACUUGUUCCAAUCAAUUUAUGAAUCUGCUAAGCUUUUCGUUUCGCUUUAUUUCUGAGCAUGGUCUUUCAGCCAUCAUGUUGUAGUUGUAUAGAGCUUCAAGCUUUUGAGAUGAUUAUAGUUGAUAUAUUCUAGGUAACAAGAACUAUAAUUUGACUUCUUGGGUUGCUGGAUGCGAGCCUGGAUGGGCAUUUGGUUACAUUUAGAGACUGGCCUUGAGACUUUGAUUACUGAUAUUCUGAUCUGCACACACUGGCAGUUAAUAUGCUGUUUCACAGAUACAUCUUGUUAUUGUCAGCUUCAGAUAUGUAAAGAUUAAUAUGCUCUCCUUUCCCUUCAUGCGAAUAAUGUUGAGUAGGAGUACUCAAUAAAUACACUCUACCCCCAACUCUUUAUAUAAUUCCAACCCAUACAGCUAAGCUCAUUUAUGAUUUUGCCACUUUUAUUUAUGCGAAGAUUCUGAUUAUCAUGGUAAAGGUACAAUCUUGGUCUGGAUUAGAACAUGGAUACCAACUGGACUAAAACGAGAUGAACUCACUGAAUGCAAUUGGUUUGGUUAAAGAUACAAAUCUUGGCUUGGAUUCAGAUUCUCUUAAUUUCAUAUGGUGUAAUUGAAUUCACUAUGGUGAUUGGAAUAAGAAAAUUAAAAUUUUGGGAUUUGGGAUUCAACUUUGCUUAGCGUGGCUUAUUUAAAGUUAUGGAUACGGGAGCUAAAUUCAUUUCCUGGAUUAAAUUUAUUUACUGUUAGCUUCUGAAACAUAUGAUUAAUUUUCAUAGUACAUCACUUGAGCACUUCCAUGAGUUUAAUUUGGACAUUCAAUUGUUAAUUUCAUUGUUAAGCUGUAUCAUAUACUCCUAGUUUCAAUUCCUAGUUCCUACUCAUUUAUACUUUGUACUAGUUACUCCUACAACUAGUACCUUAAUAUUUUUUGUCUUAUACAUUCCAUUAUUUCCAAAGAGUAGUUAAGAGAAACAAUUGAAGAAGAUUGUAGAUUGAAGUAGGUCCUUUGUCUUAAUGUAUGUGUCAAAACAUUAUUAUUAUAUGAGGAGGAUAUUAUUAGUCAAACUUAAUAGAAAAGUCUUAUUGAGAACUUAAUACUCUGUAUGAUAUUUUCUCACCCUUCAUCACUGUGAAACUGCUAAUAGCAAGUCUGGACACAUUUUGUUUCUUCUGUUAGUGUUUCAUUACAAGUUUUGUUUGUUAUUAGCAUUUAGACCUGGGCGUGAUUUGUCAUUUGCUUUUUUGGUAUAAAAUGUGAAUGAUAGUCAUGUUUUAGCCGUUUCUCAAUCCCUACUCUACUUUGAUGUUGGUGUUAAGUCGGAGCUUCCUUUGAUAAGUUCCUUUUUUUGCGACUGAUUGUUCCAAUCUUGUUCUGAUGCAUAUUUCUCUGUGGAUGCGUAGACUUGUUUCCAAAUUGAUUUAGCUAGCAUUUGUUUCUCUGUAGACUAACAGGCAUCAUUCUUCUUUUUCCUUGUUCGGAAAUAGUCCCAAAACUUGUAGCUGUUAUGUGAAACUGUCAUGGAUCUAAUGUUAUCGAGAGUCUGAUUUGUUUAUACAAAGGAUUAUAAUUGGAUUUGGAGUUCCAUUCUACUAAACCAUCUACAGGUUUGGUUAGAUCUUAAUUCUGAUAAAGAGCACAAGAACAAUGCAAGCAGGAACAACAUGUGAAUGAUCACUUUUCUUUUCUGGUUCAAGAUGUUAUGGCUGCAUAUUCUUCUUCAUAAUAAUGUUGUAACUUGUUUGUUGCGAAAUGUUGCAGCUUUACCAAAAUGGUAAGCAGGGGCUUGUAUAUUGGUGGCUCUUUUAAUCUUACUACUUUGAACUGUUCCUAAACUACAGUCAGACAUGUUCUCUUCCCUUUUCUCAACUCGCAUUCAUCUCUAGUUGUAAUUAUAUAGGUGGUUGUGGUGUUGAAAGACUGUGAGGUACUAGAGCCUAACAGGUGUUCGUACAUGCAAGUAUGUUGUUUGGCACCAUUUUAUAAUGUUGGCAUCAACAUUGUCCUGUUGGUCUUGGCUGCUGGUCAAGUGGAGCGAUAUUAUUAGCUCGUACGUUGUGAGCUAGGUGGACUAAGAAACUUUGAGGGGUCUUGUGAACAUGGCUUUUGAUAACAAUCGUACUGAGUUUGUUGGAUGUUUAUGCUCAUAAGUGACAAACAAAAAUCUGAAUGAGUGGCCCCACACCUGCACUCGUGAUAUGCUUUGUGUCGUUGUUAGUAUCAUUACCUCUCAUCCAUUGAAGGGGCUGCCGAGUUGCUGCUCUUGUGUUCCUUCUGGUUUGCUUCAGGAGCACGGUGAGCUAAAUGGAGAAGAAAUGUAGAUCUAGCAAUGAGACGGUGGAGGCUCUUAUUUGUUUUGGGUCGUUUUGUAAUUCCUAGCAACGUUGAAUUUGUUUCUAUGAAUUUUAAUUUUAUGUACUUUUGUCAUUAAAAUCACCAAAUUAAUUAGUGAACAACUAUUUUGUAAUGCAUGUGUUCUAUGGGCACUAAUAUUAAUUGUUAUAUUACUUUUCAAGUCAAUGAAAAUCUUUUGUUAUUA